rnacentral:rRNA from 1 species
UACGGGGGGGGCAAGCGUUGUUCGGAAUUACUGGGCGUAAAGGGCUCGUAGGCGGCCAACUAAGUCGGAUGUGAAAUCCCCAGGCUUAACCUGGGAACUGCAUCCGAUACUGGAUGGCUUGAAUCCGGGAGAGGGAUGCAGAAUUCCAGGUGUAGCGGUGAAAUGCGUAGAUAUCAGGAGGAACACCGGUGGCGAAGGCGGCUUCCUGGACACUUACUGACGCUGAGACGCGAAAGCGUGGGGAGCAAACAGG